GUGCUCGCUUGGGCAGCACAUAUACUAAAAUUGGAAAGAUACAGAGAAGAUUAGCAUGGCCCCUGCACAAGGACCCACAAAUUCAUGAAGCAUUCCACAUAAAA
ensembl:snRNA U6 U6 spliceosomal RNA